AAACAUUGAUUGUACCCUACACCUACAAUCCGCCCGGGAAUUACAAACAUNAGUUCAAAACCCAUAGGACUUGGCGGUGCUUUACAUCCACCUAGAGGAGCCUGUUCUAGAACCGAUAACCCCCGUUCAACCUCACCCUCCCUUGUUCCUUUCCGCCUAUAUACCACCGUCGUCAGCUCACCCUGUGAAGGAUUAAUAGUGAGCAAAGUUGGCACAGCCCAAAACGUCAGGUCGAGGUGUAGCGUAUGAGAGGGGAAGANAAUGGGCUACAUUCUCUAAAUUAGAGAACACGAAUGAUGCAUUGAAACAUGCAUGUAU
rnacentral:rRNA from 1 species